GAUGAAGAACGUAGCGAAAUGCGAUAAGUAAUGUGAAUUGCAGAAUUCAGUGAAUCAUCGAAUCUUUGAACGCACAUUGCGCCCUCUGGUAUUCCGGGGGGCAUGCCUGUUCGAGCGUCAUUAUAACCACUCAAGCUCUCGCUUGGUAUUGGGGUUCGCGGUUUCGCGGCCCCUAAAAUCAGUGGCGGUGCCUGUCGGCUCUACGCGUAGUAAUACUUCUCGCGAUUGAGUUCGAUAGGCCUACUUGCCAGUAACCCCCAAUUUUUACAGGUUGACCUCGGAUCAGGUAGGGAUACCCGCUGAACUUAAGCAUAUCAAUAAGCGGAGGA
rnacentral:misc_RNA from 1 species